CCCGCUCCCCACGGCACCCUGCUUCCCUCCAGGGGCCCUGCUGCCCCCUGCCCCCACUCCCCGCGUGAGCCCUGCUCCCCCUGCCCCCGGGGCCCCCACUCCCUCCAUGGCCCCUGCACCCUGAUUCCACAGUUGGAGACACAGCUCCAGAGGAGGCCUGCAAUUCUGCCCGGGUUUCGUCCGGAGGACAGCCCGCCCCAUGACGUGUCACUGCCCAGCUGGUUCCAGGGCCGGUCGCUCCCUGGCAGAAUCGUGCCAUCGGGGCAGGCGCUGGCGUCCGUUGCUGGGAGGCUAAACCAGCCCUGUUGAGGACACCCCCACCGUGACCACCUUUCCACCAGCCGCCUGGCCGGCUGGGCAGCAGGCAAUGCGCUUCGCUCCCAGCGGGAAGAACGGCGGGUGCCGCCGCCCACUGCUGCUUUGAAGUCAGUGUUGCCCACCCCCCAGCUUGGGACCCCUAAGUAUUCGACUCGUACCCCUCGUCCCUCCAGAUCAGACUGGAGCUGGGUGGUCCCUUGAUCCAGUGGUGGGUCUCCUUGUAAGAAGAGGUGAGGGCGCUGGGAGACACACAGAGGAGACAGCCGUGGAGGGGACAGAGGCCCAGACAGGAGGAUGCGGCCACCACCAAGGAUGCAGGCAACCCUGGAUGCCGGGCGGUCCUCCGGAGCCCCCAGGACACCCUGAGCUGGACCCCCGGCCUGCAGCCGCAAGGAUGCCUUCCAUUGCUGCGCCCACGGACCUCCACGCGUGCUCCGGCCUGGCCCACGU
ensembl:lncRNA